rnacentral:rRNA from 1 species
GACGAACGCUGGCGGCGUGCUUAACACAUGCAAGUCGAACGGAAAGGCCCUGCUUUUGUGGGGUGCUCGAGUGGCGAACGGGUGAGUAACACGUGAGUAACCUGCCCUUGACUUUGGGAUAACUUCAGGAAACUGGGGCUAAUACCGGAUAGGAGCUCCUGCUGCAUGGUGGGGGUUGGAAAGUUUCGGCGGUUGGGGAUGGACUCGCGGCUUAUCAGCUUGUUGGUGGGGUAGUGGCUUACCAAGGCUUUGACGGGUAGCCGGCCUGAGAGGGUGACCGGCCACAUUGGGACUGAGAUACGGCCCAGACUCCGAGGGGAGGCAGCAGGGGGAAAUAUGGCACAAGGGGCGGAGGCGGGAUGCAGCAGCGCCGGGUGGGGGAGGACGGCUUGCGGGUUGAAACCCGCUUUCGCCUGUGACGAGGGGGGAGUGAGGGUAUGGGGUAAAGAGGCACGGGCUAACUAGGUC